CUGUCUCUAGCGUAUUAGUCCGGCCAUUCUAAGGUCCGGUUUACGCUCUGUCCCUUUAUUUUCCUUUUCUUGCCUAUGUAUAUGUUUACAUAGUUUCUGCGUGCUGGACCACACUAGUAGUCGUGACAUUGGGAUUAAACUGAUAAGAAUAGUACUACUUAACACACCACUCCUAUCUGGUGGCAUAUUAGAUUGCACGCGCAGUGCCCCAAAUUUGAAGGAGGACCG